AGGUAAGGUGGUCUGGUAUUCCCAUCUCUAAGAAUUUUCCACAACUUGUGAUCCACACAGUCAAAGGCUUUAGUGUAGUCAGUGAAGCAGAAAGAGUGUAGUCGUUCAGUUGCGUCUCACUCUCUGCAACCCUACGGACCGUGGCCCGCCAGGCUCCGUCCAUGGGGUUUUCCAGGCAAGAAUACUGCAGUGGGUUGUCGUUUCCGUCUCCAGGGGAUCUUCGGGACGUAGGAAUCACACUCAGGUCUUCUGCACUGCGGGCAGGCGACUGGCUUCCCUGCUGGCUCAGCUGGUUGAGAAGACGCCUGCAGUUCGCGAGACCUGGGUUUGAUCCCUGGGUUGGGAAGACCCGCUGGACCAGGGCAUGGCAACCCCCUCCAGUACUCUGGCCUAGAGAAUUCCGUGGACUGUGUGGUCCAUGGGGUCGCAAAGAGUCGGACACGACUGAGCAACUUCACUUCAGUGAAGCAGAGGUAGAUGUUUUUUCGGAAUUCUCUUGCUUUUUCUCUGAUCCGAAUGUUUGGUUUCGGGUUUUUAAAAAUACAUGUUCACAGGUUACACUGACCCAUCAAGGAAAGAUUUUAAAAUGCAGAUUUUUUUCUUUCUGCCUGUGCUGUGUCUUGGUUGCGGCAUGCGGGCUCUCGCCCCCUAACCAGCUGUCAGACCUGCAUUGGGAGCAUGGAGUCCUAACCACUGGACCACAAGUGAAGACCCGGUUUUUUUUUUUUUAAUGUUUCAGAAUUAUUCAUAUUUAAAAUCAGUUGCAGGUUUCUACAAAUUGUGCCUUUCAUCUUUUUGUAAGAUUGUGGUAUAAAGUUCAAAAUAUUCUCUUGUAAGCUAAUUAGUUUCUGCAGCGCCUUUUUACCAGUAAUAAUAAUGUGUGCUUUCCCUUUAUUUUUAAGUUUUCUUAGAGAUUUGUCAGUCCCAGAUUUAUGUUGACUCCAGUACCCCCAGUUUUUGUGGAUCUAAUUCUGGCCUUUUAUUCCUGCUGGCUCUGAUAGUGACAUCCUUCUCGGUAUGUUUUGUGAGCUUUUUUCUUCCUUACAUUGAACCCAUUUAACGUGGUGUACUACCAGAAAGUUCUCUUGAGUUCUGGAUUGAAGGUGGAUUCUUCCAGAGAGUAUUAAUCCUUCCUUUUUUGUUGUUUUUAACCCCUUUUNNNNNNNNNNNNNNNNNNNNNNNNNNNNNNNNNNNNNNNNNAGAAUUUUGUUGUUUUCUGUCAAACCUCAACAUGAAUCAGCCAUAGGUGUGUGUGUGUGUGUCUGUGUGUGUAUGUAUCUCCCCUUCCCUUUGAACCUCCCUCCCUGUUUCUAACCCUUGCUUUUAUGAAAUGUUUAAGGUUGUUACCAGCUCAAGGCUACUGUGUUUAUUUGCCUUUUAUACUGUGAAAUAUGGACUUCCUAGGUGGCACUAGUGGUUUUUAAAAAAAAACAAGCAGCCUGCCAACGCAGAAGU
rnacentral:lncRNA from 1 species